rnacentral:miRNA from 1 species
AGGGCUAAAGUACAAGAGAG